CCAAACGCUCCAUGAGCGCGAUGGCGGCCAUCUUGUCUUCACCGCUGUGGUGCUUGGCCCACAGCAGAAGCUCAAAGUCGUUCUUGGACAGACCAUGGAUUCGAAAAGAGGUGAAGAAGUCGAGAUGGCUGUAUUGAGUGACUUCUGGAAAGCACCAUCGAGGCUGGAGUGGGAAUUCUGAUCCCUGUCCCAGCCCAUCUCACACAAAUACUGCGGAUGAUUGAGACCCCAGAUGUGACAAAUUCGUUGUUUGUUUCCCGGAGUAUUAAGUCCUUCAUCAGUUUGAUUCUUAAGAGAAAAAAAGCAGUUUUCAAAUACAACAUCAAAAGAAACUGUGGGCUCUGGUAGCAAGAGGGAAACUCUAGCAUCAUUUACAGGUCUUGCUCCUCAGGUCUUUGAUGUUCCUCCAAGCACGGUGGAAGCAAGACUCCUUGUCUGUGAACACGCCCCAGACCCUGGAGAGAGGGGGCAAAGUGCUGUGAUGGAGAAACAGACAGGGAGAAGAAACACGAGAGGAAGAAGGAUCCAUUCAGCACCUGCUUCCAUCCCGAGCCUCAAAGAAAAGCUUUCGGGAAGUCCCCUCCCCCAGGCUCCUUCCCUAUCAUCUUGUCAUUACAGCCUUACAGAUACACUCUGGGUGUUUCUUCUCUUCAAUUAAAGAUAAAGAAAAGCCUCUUCACGUUUAACAAGAGAUUCCUGUGAAAUGAAAAUAAAAGCCUUUCAU